rnacentral:lncRNA from 1 species
CUAGACUACACUGGCUGCCCCCCGCCCCCCGACUUUUUGUACCCUCCUCAGUCCUCGGUAACCAGGCUUCCAGCCAGUCCACUCAAAGUGCUCCGGCAGUGGUCACCAACGACCCAAUGCCCAGGGCAGUGGCCUUCCUUCCAUCCCCAUACUGCGUGACCUCCUGGCCCCAUACCAUACCACUCACCACCGUUCCCUGCUCCCUCGAUGAGACUGGUCUCUGGACGUCUUCCCCACGGGCCCUCCUCUGACCUCAGACGGCUCUUUCCCGUUCACUCCUGCUCCAGCUGCCAUUGUUGUUCCACAUUCUGUCUUAAGCCUUCACGUCGUCUUUCAUCUGCACUCUUCCUGGACGUUCUUUUGUACAUCCACAGCCUCUGCCACCCGUAUACAGUGACGAAUCCCCAGAGCUCUCCUGUUCUCAGCCCAGACUCACCUUUGUUUCCACCCAGACGUCCUGCAGAACCUCCAGACCCGUGUGUCCAGAAUCACAUCCGUUAGCUUCCCUCUUCCUGGCCACCAUCGUCCCCUGUUCGUUUCCUAUUCCUGCUGUGUCAGAUCGCCACAGACGUGGUGGACUACAACGGCACGAAUGUAUCAUCGUACAGUCAUGGAGGGCGGAAGUCCAAAACGAGUCUUCUGGGGCUAAAUUCCAGGUGUUGGCCUGACUGGUUCCUUCCAGAAGGUCUGGGGGAGAAUCUGCCCCUUGCCUUCUUCUGGACGCUGUUUGCAUUCCUUGGCUUCUGGCCCCACAGCCUUUCCUCCGUGUGCUGUCACUGUCACGUCACCUUCUCCAGACUCCACUCUCCUGCCUCCCUCUUAUAAGGCCCCUUGUGGUUGCAUUUAGGGCCCAC